UGUAUUCCUUAUCUGUUAUCUAUUUCUAAUGGUUGUCGGAGCCUAUCUUCUGGUCAUACCUUUUGACUAACUGCCUGUUACGACCGGAAGAUAGGCCCUGCUAUAUGUUGCCGCUAAAACUCUUGGA
rnacentral:sRNA from 1 species